UACGUAGGUGGCAAGCGUUUGUCCGGAAUUAUUGGGCGUAAAGCGCGCGCAGGUGGUUUCUUAAGUCUGAUGUGAAAGCCCACGGCUCAACCGUGGAGGGUCAUUGGAAACUGGGGAACUUGAGUGCAGAAGAGGAAAGUGGAAUUCCAAGUGUAGCGGUGAAAUGCGUAGAGAUUUGGAGGAACACCAGUGGCGAAGGCGAGUUCCUGGACAGUUGCUGACACUGAGGCACGAAGGCUAGGGGAGCAAACGGGAGUUAGAA
rnacentral:rRNA from 1 species